CCAGGGCCAUAUUAUGUGACUCACAGAGGCAAGUGCCCCUCUCCAGGAACCUCGCAAUCGCCAUCCACCGUAUGGCUUCUAUAUAUAUAUGCAGGCCAAGUCCUGUUAUCUUGUUGUUGUCCCUGCGUAGAUGCGAGGAGCAUCUCGAUCUUGUUCACGCUUCGUACAUGAGAAGUUGAUGCGAAAUGAGGCUCAUUCAUUGGGGCACAUUCCCCGCGCUAGCUGGCCAAUAACAACGCUUCAGCCGCGCGGCAAAUAGGCGCGGCACUAUUUCCUAAUCGGGUUUAAUUACAUCCGCGUCACGCCUUCGCGUCUCAGCAGAAAAGACAAAUAUUGGACAUCAGAUAUCAGAUAUUGGACAUCGGAUGGAGACAGCCAGCACAGUGUCCACAAAGCAGCUGUAGUCUAUGCCUUUCUGCGCUUCUCAUCAUGCCGAAUGCUGGCCAAGAAUGCAAGGAGGUUUUGCCAUGUGCUUCGGAGCAAGACACAGGCCAUGUCAGGCCUGAAGAUGGGCCUGAAGAUGAUCCCGCCGAUGACCCCGCCAGAACUACCACUGCACAACCGGAUACUUCAGAGCCUGUCAAGCUAGAAGACCUGUUCGGCGAUGACGAUGAUGAUGAUGAAUUUCCUACGUCCAGCGCAGCUGUGACUUCAAAGCUCGAGAGCUCCCCAGAGCCACCACUCAAACCGCCCGGGCCCGCUCCGGUGCAAAUAGACUCCGAGACGAUGUACGCCUUCUACUUACGCCUGUUUCCGUUCAAAUAUCUCUUCCAAUGGCUCAAUCAUGAUGUGAAACCCUCGCCGGAUUUUGGCAACCGGGAAUUCGCAU
rnacentral:sRNA from 1 species